rnacentral:rRNA from 1 species
AAAUUUCAAUAGCCGCAAUUUACUUGUGCUAAGGUAGCAUAAUCAUUUGUUCUUUAAUUAAGAACUAGAAUGAAAGGUUUAACAUUUUAUUUUCUAUUAUAAAUAUAAAUUAUAAAAUUAUACUAAAUAUAAAAAUAUAUUUAUAAAAAAAUUAGACGACAAGACCCUAUUAAACUUUACUUAUGUUUAGCUGGGGCAGCUUUUUAAUUAAUAUUUUAAUUUUUUUUUUUUAAAAAAAAUACCCAAAAUUUUUGAAAUUUAAUCAAGUUACUAUAGGGAUAACAGCGUAAUUUUUAUAAAAAGUUCUUAUUAAAAUAAAAGUUUGCGACCUCGAUGUUGAAUUAAAUUUCUUUAUUUCGCAAUAGAAAUAAAAGAAGGUCUGUUCGACCUAUAAAAAUUU